rnacentral:rRNA from 1 species
UACGUAGGUGGCAAGCGUUAUCCGGAAUUAUUGGGCGUAAAGAGCGCGCAGGUGGUUGAUUAAGUCUGAUGUGAAAGCCCACGGCUUAACCGUGGAGGGUCAUUGGAAACUGGUCGACUUGAGUGGAGUAGAGGCAAGCGGAAUUCCGAGUGUAGCGGUGAAAUGCGUAGAUAUUCGGAGGAACACCAGUGGCGAAGGCGGCUUGCUGGGCUCUAACUGACGCUGAGGCUCGAAAGUGUGGGGAGCGAACAGGAUUAGAUACCCU